UACGUAGGGUGCAAGCGUUAAUCGGAAUUACUGGGCGUAAAGCGUGCGCAGGCGGCUUUGCAAGACAGAUGUGAAAUUCCCGGGCUUAACCGGGGAACUGCAUCUGAUACUGGAUGGCUUGAGUUCGGGAGAGGGAUGCGGAAUUCCAGGUGUAGCGGUGAAAUGCGUAGAUAUCUGGAGGAACACCGGUGGCGAAGGCGGCAUCCUGGACCGGCACUGACGCUGAGGAGCGAAAGCCAGGGGAGCAAACGGG
rnacentral:rRNA from 1 species